AUGUCGCCGCCGCCGACCUCUGAGGGGAGACGCCGCCGCCACCUGUGCCAAACGCCUUUGCUUGUGCCCCAAAUUCCCCAUCACUCUCUUUGUCACAGCAUGGUCUCAACAAUGGUGCCUUCACCCUUGCUUGUGCCUCUACCCACGUGGUCAUCUUUGAGACGUGGUAUUCAUUCACAUGACAGAGUUCUCUUUAUCCUUGAGGAUAGGUGCGUUGCGGGGUGGAAGUUGUCGAUGUUGUUCAAUUGUAUGCUGCCCCUUGAGGGGAAGUCGUGCGUGCGCCCAGUGAGGAGAAGCGGCAAGGGCUCCAGGUGUGAGAGGCUGAAGCUCGGGGACGACGACAUCAUGCACAAGAGGGCAUAUAGGAGAACUAUAAUUGCCGGCUGCCGUGCAAAACCAUCUUUGGCGAUCAAGUUAGCAUGCACUGGGCCUGACGAUGAUGUACUGAUGUACACCUUCUUUUUAGUUAGAACUGUGUCUGCUAUUGAUCUAUCUUGCUUAAUAAAAAUAACUCUGUAUGUUUCAGAAACAAGAGCUGGAGCCAUCAUUGACCACGACCGUGCCAGGAGCACCGGGGAAAAGGCGAGGACAUGUUGUUUAUUCUUCUUGCUGGAAGGAUAUGUCGUGAAAAAUGAUCCAGAUGCUAUUAAAGUUGUAACCUUUGACUGUCCAUUACGUCUGGACUGCCAUGAGACCGCGAUUGGUACUGUACCCCAAAUUCUUCCAUACUCUAAUGAUCUUGUGUUCAAGGAGCAUCAACUACAUGUUAUGUCAGGCUUGACCAUAUCAGGUGAAGGGAGUGACAAGCAAUUUGCAUUUCAGUAUUCUGGUUUUGAUGCCCUGGGGGUACACAAGAGAGAGAGAGGGAGGGAGGGAGGGAGGGAGGGAGGAAGAUGCAAUUUCCAGGACAUUUAUGACUCUAUUCAGUUGCCUACAAGAUCCUUGAGGUCAGGUCCGGCAUUACCUAUAUGGACCUCUCCCUGGUCGCCUUCAAGAGUGUGUGCGGGCUUGCCCGGCGACAGGAAAAGCACAAGCUUCAGAGCCACAAUCACCGGCUGCACCGCGGGCUUUCCCGGCGACAGCGUCUCCUAUGGUGGUGAGGAGGGAGGGAGGGUUAGGCUGCCGGGAGGGGCGGCGCGUGGGAGGGAGGCUGUGUCCACAUGUGCAAACAGAAAGAUGGCCCUGCUCAUCGGGCUCAAGCAGCAGCGAGCAAGGCCAGCGACAACGGAAAUGUUGUGGCUGGCGCCCAUGCACCUCUACCUGACUUCAAUGCACCUUUGUGUUUUCAUUUUAAAAUGUCGACAAUUCCCAGGAUUAAUGGACAGAAGGUUCUGUUGUCCAGUUGAUGCUACUAAUUUUGGCCCUACCAAAUACUGUGGGAUCAAUGGACUCCAUGAUAUGAAGUUUGUGUUUGAGUCAAGUACUAUUGUGCGCAUGGAUCUUCUUAUGCUGACCAUCUUGAAAUGGAGAUUGCAGGCCUUGUCUCAGUUUACUUUCGUCAUCACCUACUUUCCGAAGAAGUUUGGUGAUGGAAGCCAUCGAGUUUUGUACUUAUCUUAUAUGCGGACAUCAUUGUUGUUACUACAGAAGUUCCAUUAA
rnacentral:rRNA from 1 species